GACGAACGCUGGCGGCGUGCCUAAUACAUGCAAGUUGAGCGCUGAAGGUUGGGACUUGUACCAACUGGAUGAGCAGCGAACGGGUGAGUAACGCGUGGGGAAUCUGCCUUUGAGCGGGGGACAACAUUUGGAAACGAAUGCUAAUACCGCAUAAAAACUUUAAACACAAGUUUUAAGUUUGAAAGAUGCAAUUGCAUCACUCAAAGAUGAUCCCGCGUUGUAUUAGCUAGUUGGUGAGGUAAAGGCUCACCAAGGCGAUGAUACAUAGCCGACCUGAGAGGGUGAUCGGCCACAUUGGGACUGAGACACGGCCCAAACUCCUACGGGAGGCAGCAGUAGGGAAUCUUCGGCAAUGGACGAAAGUCUGACCGAGCAACGCCGCGUGAGUGAAGAAGGUUUUCGGAUCGUAAAACUCUGUUGGUAGAGAAGAACGUUGGUGAGAGUGGAAAGCUCAUCAAGUGACGGUAACUACCCAGAAAGGGACGGCUAACUACGUG
rnacentral:rRNA from 1 species